AUAUCAAUAAGCGGAGGAAAAGAAACCAACCGGGAUUACCUCAGUAACGGCGAGUGAAGCGGUAAGAGCUCAGAUUUGAAAUCGGUGACGCUUGCGGCUCCGAGUUGUAAUCUGGAGAGGAUGCUUCGGCAAGGUGGCUGGUCCAAGUUCCUUGGAACAGGACGUCAUGGAGGGUGAGAAUCCCGUCUCUGGCUGGCCGUCCGCGCUAUGUGAAGCUCCUUCGACGAGUCGAGUUGUUUGGGAAUGCAGCUCAAACUGGGUGGUAAAUUCCAUCUAAAGCUAAAUACGGGCGAGAGACCGAUAGCGCACAAGUA
rnacentral:rRNA from 1 species